rnacentral:rRNA from 1 species
AUUGAACGCUGGCGGAAUGCUUUACACAUGCAAGUCGAGCGGCAGCGCGGGGGCAACCCUGGCGGCGAGCGGCGAACGGGUGAGUAAUACAUCGGAACGUGUCCUUAAGUGGGGGAUAGCUCGGCGAAAGCCGGAUUAAUACCGCAUAAGCUCUGAGGAGGAAAGCGGGGGCUCCGUAAGGACCUCGCGCUGUUGGAGCGGCCGAUGUCGGAUUAGCUAGUUGGUGGGGUAAAGGCCCACCAAGGCGACGAUCCGUAGCUGGUCUGAGGGGAUGAUCAGCCACACUGGAACUGAGACACGGUCCAGACUCCUACGGGAGGCAGCAGUGGGGAAUUUUGGACAAUGGGGGCAACCCUGAUCCAGCCAUUCCGCGUGAGUG